CGGCGCGGAUGGAGCAGCAAAUCCAUCCCUCGCCCCCUUUGAUUCUGAUCCCUGCAGUCCGCAACGGGCAUCAGGCAUCGAUGCAAUCUCCAAGCCACAGCCCACAGAUUCAGGGACAUGGUUUUCUUUUCGUACUGUCCAGCAGGCUGCAGUACAAAGGUACAAGACUAAUUAAGGGUGAAGACAUCAUCACUCAUUUUCAAAGCAUCGGGAAUCACUUAUUUUGGAACGGAGGGAGUAAUUUGAGUCUUGGUUUUGGUGGUGGUGAAUCGUGAUCUGGCCUUGCCGGAGAUUUGUAGAUUGAACCGGACAGGAACAAAGAGACGCCGAGCAAAGCCUAAAAGCGGAAAUGAGAAUAUAAUUGAGGAGAGCAAUGUUACCACCAAUAUUGGUCAUGAUGCCAUUGGCUGCAAGAGACCAAAAAGAGAAGUUGCCCGUUCGAAUUUCAGUGAGAAGGCAUUUGAAUUAUCUGAAGAAGAUUCACUUGUCACACCCAAGAAAAUCAGAAUUGAGGAGGAAACGGAGGCAGUUAUGUUGACAAGAACAGGAAUCAA